rnacentral:rRNA from 1 species
CUUGAGUGCGUCGGCUUCCGGAGCUAACGCGUUAAAUCGACCGCCUGGGGAGUACGGCCGCAGGGUUAAAACUCAAAUGAAUUGACGGGGGCCCGCACAAGCGGUGGAGCAUGUGGUUUAAUUCGAUGCAACGCGAAAAACCUUACCUACUCUUGACAUCCAGAGAACUUUCCAGAGAUGCAUUGGUGCCUUCGGGAACUCUGAGACAGGUGCUGCAUGGCUGUCGUCAGCUCGUGUUGUGAAAUGUUGGGUUAAGUCCCGCAACGAGCGCAACCCUUAUCCUUUGUUGCCAGCGGUUCGGCCGGGAACUCAAAGGAGACUGCCGGUGAAAACUGGAGGAAGGUGGGGAUGACGUCAAGUCAUCAGGGCCCUUACGAGUAGGGCUACACACGUGCUACAAUGGCGGAUACAAAGAGAAGCGAACUCGCGAGAGUAAGCGGACCUCUAAAAGUACUUCCUAUUCCGGAUUGGAGUCUGCAACUCGACUCCUUGAAGUCGGAAUCGCUGGUAAUCGUGAAUCACAAUGCUACGGUAAAUACUUUCCCGGGCCUUGUACACACCGCCCGUCACACCAUGGGAGUGGGUUGCAAAAGAAGUAGGUAGCUUAACCUUCGGGAGGGCGCUUACCACUUUGUGAUUCAUGACUGGGGUG